AUUUCAAUCAUUAAAUAAUUAUUUUAUUUAAUUUUAUAUUUAAUGUAUUCCUGUUGUUUCCUGAAUUUCAGAAAAUUGAAUUCAAAUCUAUAUACAUAUGGAGAAUUGGAAAAGAAUCACUAAGUAUUUCAUCAUACCAUGUAUGUUAAGUUGGUAAUACACGAGCUGUAAAGAGAUACUGUUACGAUAUCACGACCAACUAAAGACCUGAUAUUACUGCCGUCGUUAACGAGCGGGAUAAUUUCGUUGAAUACGAAUAAAAUUGCUUAUGGAUUUAUUAAGAAAAGGAAUUGUUGCAAUCCAAUGUCAGAAUGUGUUAUACUUGAUGGAAUAUGGAGAUGUGGACUCGUUUACGUUAUAAACAGAGGCUUUGGUGACUGUCAUUGAGAGACUGAAUGCAGCUGUAAUCUAUGAUGAUUUUCACAUUUAUAUUAAUAUCACUUAUUGUAAUAAAAUUUAUGUUUAGAAAACUUAAUAGAUUGCAAACGUGUAUACAAUAAAAUGUAAGAUAUCCUACAAU